UGUAACAGCAUAGGUUUAUCUUUUGCAAAUGUCAUGUGCAAGAAACCUACCAUAAAUGAACUGACCAAUAUUCAUAUUUACUUUCUUUUUAGAUGAGUCAACACCACACAGGCAACCAGCUCAUUGCCCAGAGCUGGAUAGGUCUAUUAUAACGCCUGCCACUUCAUCUUGGGACCCAGUUGAAGCACAAGUGACUCAUCACACAGAGGGAGGUGGCUUGGCCAUGGAGAAGGAAAUAAGAGCAAUAAGGACAACCAUUACCACAUGGCACAGCGAAUGGACACAUUUGAGGAGAAGAUGGAUGAGCUGCUCAUGCUCUUAAGGAGCUCCCAG